GACGAACGCUGGCGGCGUGCUUAACACAUGCAAGUCGAACGGAAAGGCCCUGCUUUUGUGGGGUGCUCGAGUGGCGAACGGGUGAGUAACACGUGAGUAACCUGCCCUUGACUUUGGGAUAACUUCAGGAAACUGGGGCUAAUACCGGAUAGGAGCUCCUGCUGCAUGGUGGGGGUUGGAAAGUUUCGGCGGUUGGGGAUGGACUCGCGGCUUAUCAGCUUGUUGGUGGGGUAGUGGCUUACCAAGGCUUUGACGGGUAGCCGGCCUGAGAGGGUGACCGGCCACUUUGGGACUGAGAUACGGCCCAGACUCCUACGGGAGGCAGCAGUGGGGAAUAUUGCACAAUGGGCGGAAGCCUGAUGCAGCAACGCCGCGUGCGGGAUGACGGCCUUCGGGUUGUAAACCGCUUUCGCCUGUGACGAAGCGUGAGUGACGGUAAUGGGUAAAGAAGCACCGGCUAACUACGUG
rnacentral:rRNA from 1 species